AAAAAGUUUGAAAAGAGAAAGAUCAGAGAGAGAAGGAGACAGCGAAGGAUAGACGGACAGAGUUUCCUCUCCGAGAAGGAAAAGAAGAGAGAGAGAGAAGGGAUGGAUGUUUUAGAAAAACACUGAUAAAAGAAGAUCGAUAGACGGAAAGAGGUCAGAGGAGGUGGAGAGAGAGACGGGUCGGAGGAGAGAGAGAACAGAGAGAGGAAGCUGAGGCACAUAGAAAUGACGGCACGCUCCCAGAGUCGGUGCUGUGGAGACCCAGGCCUAGAAAGAAAGAAAGAAAGAAAGAAAGAAAGAAAGAAAAAUUGAAAGCAAAAAGUAAAAAGGAGAGAAAGAAAAAACAACUUUUAAAAAGGUGAAAGAAAAAAUGGGGGAAACAAGACAAACAAGAAGAAAGACCAACAAGGAAAACAAAGUACAAAAAAAAACAAACAAAAAAAAAAAAAAAAACAUAAAAAAAGUGGGAAAAUAAAAACAAACAAAGAAAGAUAAAAAAAGUACAGAAGCAA
ensembl:lncRNA